rnacentral:snoRNA from 1 species
AGCCCAUGAUGAGGGUACCUUCUCAAUAGAUCCUUAUACCUCUCCCAUCCAUCAUAUAGGGUCUCUAAGUCCAUUUGCACAAAGGAAGAGAUAUCAUUCCUCAAAUU